GGGCAGUUCUUGUUGUUUUUUCCCCCGACGUGAAGGAGGUGCCGAGCCCCCCCAGAGCGAGCCCCACUCUCCUCGGCCUGCCCCUCCCCUCCCCCGCUCCGGCAGGCCGCCAUGCUUCAGCCUCAGUUCCAGUUUUAUGAUUAAACAUCCCGGCGUCAAUUAUUUACAAUACUGCCAGAUGAAUAUCAGGGCUGCAGAGGCCUGCUGAGUCACAUGGGGGAAGCUGGUUUUUCUGGAGGGGAAAGGACACGGAGGACAAUAAGGAAUCUGCCUCCUGCCCACAGGGACCAAGGCGGGUCCUCCCUCGAGGCUGGAGCAUGAAGCAUUGUCCUCAGGCCUUUCGGGAGCCGCCCAGGUAACCACAGGUGAGCCCCUCUCUUAGCUGCUUCACGAUUCUUCUUGAAAACCUGGGCCCCGGGUCCCUCCCUUCACCCGUGGGACGACCUUGACCAUGAGCCAUGGAAGGUCCAAGGCCAGGGUCCGGAGGUGCACUUGGCGGAGCUGGGACCCCUCGGGUCCUGAAGCAGCCCCCAGGCUGUUUUGGGAACAUGUCAGACCCAACAUGGUCCAAAUCCUUCGUGCACAAAAUUAGCUUCUUUCCAUCGUUUUCAAAGGGAAAGAACGCCACACACUAAAUAUAACGCGGGCCUGCGAGCCAGAAACAAAGAUAAAUAGCCAGGCUGCACCUCAGGGAGCCGGGUGUUCACAUCCCCCUCCCCCCAGUCCCGAGAGGCCAGCGGGACCCUGGCUCCGGGGGCAGAGCCACCGACCAGCCACCUGAGGCUGCCGCUGGCCACAUCCCCCUGCCGUGAGCCCCCAGAGCAGAACCCUUAUUUCACUUUCCUUUUCAAAAAGCAACACGUGCACAUUUCUGGGGUUUUCCCUGAGUCUCAUUUUGGCCGUGAGAAAAAGGAAGGAAAAACCAAGCUAAUCCCAUCACGCAGAGAAAAUAACUGUAAACAUCACGGUGUGUGUAAUCCAGGGUUUUGCAAUGCACUGUGACACGUUGAGUCACCGGUGUUUCUCAACCUCUCUUUCCCAUUGUCCCCGAAGGACUCUUUAUAAACUCUCUUUUGGGGAUGCUCCCAGACUCCCCAACCCCCCCACCCCCACUCCUUCCCGACCACAUGGAAUUUUAAUACCUCGGAGGCACUGUUGGUUUAUGGGCCACAGACCACUCAGGUGUCUAAGAUUAUGACACCAUCCCCCCCAAAACCAGUCCUUCCCCUUGUGGGUGAUCUCACUCCAUUCAGAAUGCAGACUCUAUACAGUAUUUAAUAACAAAGCUUUUCUAUAAGAACUUACUGCAUGCUGGUGACCUCCUGUCCCGGGUGCUUUUACUUAACGUUAACUCCCCCUACGAUAGGAGGGCCAGCGAGCUUAUCUCCAUUUCACCGUUGUGGAAGUUGAGGCACAGAAAGGUUAAGUAACUUGUCCAAAGUCACACAGCUAGGAAGGCACAGAGGGAGGAUCUGAGAGCACAGGCAUCCUGGCUCCAACGUCCACACUUAACCACCCAGCUGUGUUGCCUUGUAACAACGCAUUCUGAUUGUAAAAA